AUUGAACGCUGGCGGAAUGCUUUACACAUGCAAGUCGAACGGCAGCACGGACUUCGGUCUGGUGGCGAGUGGCGAACGGGUGAGUAAUGUAUCGGAACGUGCCCAGUCGUGGGGGAUAACGUAGUGAAAAUUACGCUAAUACCGCAUACGAUCUAUGGAUGAACGCGGGGGAUCGCAAGACCUCGCGCGAUUGGAGCGGCCGAUAUCAGAUUAGGUAGGUGGUGGGGUAAAGGCCCACCAAGCCAACGAUCUGUAGCUGGUCUGAGAGGACGACCAGCCACACUGGAACUGAGACACGGUCCAGACUCCUACGGGAGGCAGCAGUGGGGAAUUUUGGACAAUGGGCGAAAGCCUGAUCCAGCCAUUCCGCGUGCAGGAUGAAGGCCCUCGGGUUGUAAACUGCUUUUGUACAGAACGAAAAGGUUUCUACUAAUACUAGGAGCUCAUGACGGUACUGUAAGAAUAAGCACCGGCUAACAACGUGCCAGCCGCCGCCGUAA
rnacentral:rRNA from 1 species